GACGAACGCUGGCGGCGUGCUUAACACAUGCAAGUCGAACGAAGCUUGAUUACGGAUUCUUCGGAUGAAGUAUGAUAUGACUGAGUGGCGGACGGGUGAGUAACGCGUGAGUAACCUGCCCUUCAGAGGGGGAUAGCGUUUGGAAACGAACGGUAAUACCGCAUAAUGUAUUUUGACAGCAUGAUCGAAAUACCAAAGAUCUAUCGCUGAAGGAUGGACUCGCGUCUGAUUAGGUAGUUGGUGGGGUAAAGGCCUACCAAGCCGACGAUCAGUAGCCGGACAGGGAGGUCGCUCGGCCACAUUGGGACUGAGGCACGGCCCAGGCUCCUACGGGAGGCGGCGGUGGGGAAUAUUGCACAAUGGGCGCAAGCCUGAUGCAGCAACGCCGCGUGAAGGAAGACUGUUUUCGGAUUGUAAACUUCUGUUCUUAGGGAAGAAUAAUGACGGUAGCUAAGGAGCAAGCCACGGCUAACUACGUG
rnacentral:rRNA from 1 species